AAGGUCAUUGAACAAAACUGUAAACCCUGUACAUGAUGGAAACUACUUCAAGGCAAGGGGUACUGCCACAUCCCCAGCAUCCCUAGUCCCAGAACACUGU